rnacentral:rRNA from 1 species
CCCUACGGGGUGCACCAGGGCCGGGAGGGGCUGGAGGGCAUCAUCAGGAACACCUGGCUUCCUUACACGGAGCGUAUUCCCGAAUCUUUGCGGGGCGAGUUCAUAUCCCAGAUUGCAGCAGCAUAUCUGGAGAGAUAUCCUCUGGACGAAUUCGGUCGGGCACAUGUGCAGAUGAUGCGUCUGGAGGUGGAGGCGGAAAAAGCCGCCCGGUAGAUGGUCGAAAGGUUCUUUAUGCGCCACUGGUUAUAUCCAAUUGGCUCAAGAACCGCAAAUCCAGAGGAGUUAGAUCAGAUUUUCGUCUUCGAUCGCCCGCGCCUGGGUGUCGCCGCCGCCCAGCCGCGCCCUCGUGCGCGUGCGAGCGGGCGCGGGUGGGCUCGUCCCCCGGUACUCCGGCGGGAGGGC